UAGAGUUUGAUCAUGGCUCAGGACGAACGCUGGCGGCGUGCUUAACACAUGCAAGUCGAGCGAUGAAGCACCUUCGGGUGUGAAUUAGCGGCGAACGGGUGAGGAACACGUGAGAAAUCUGCCUUCAACACUGGGAUAACUCCGGGAAACCGGGGCUAAUACCGGAUAUGAAACCUGCGGGCAUCCGCGGGUUUGGAAAGUUUUUCGGUUGAAGAUGAUCUCGCGGCCUAUCAGCUUGUUGGUGAGGUAAUGGCUCACCAAGGCGACGACGGGUAGCCGGCCUGAGAGGGCGACCGGCCACACUGGGACUGAGACACGGCCCAGACUCCUACGGGAGGCAGCAGUGGGGAAUAUUGGGCAAUGGAGGAAACUCUGACCCAGCGACGCCGCGUGCGGGAUGAAGGCCUUCGGGUUGUAAACCGCUUUCAGCAGGGAAGAAGCGAAAGUGACGGUACCUGCAGAAGAAGCACCGGCUAACUAUGUGCCAGCAGCCGCGGUAAUUC
rnacentral:rRNA from 1 species